rnacentral:lncRNA from 1 species
UUACUAGCUUCAUCAUUACCAUAGUUGGACCAGUGAAAACAGGACCAUAGAUUAAUUUGAGCAGACCUAUAUUUUGGUUGUUUCUGUUACUUUCCUCUUUUGCUUUCCAUAGUCAAACCAUUUCUGCACUGGUAUAGACAGGAUGGAAGACACUUGCUGGAGAGGAGAAAGCCAUUCGAUUUGGGAUUAUUAGAGUGAAACCUGUCAACCCCACGAAGAACAGUUUUAUCUGGACAUUGCAGAGGAUAUCCUAUAUGAAUGGAAGAACAUGGAUCUGAUGCUUGGCAGCAGCAGCAGCACCGUCCUGAUGAUAAGGGCAAGCAAAGACAACUGUAGAGACACUGGUGCCGGUGACAUUAAGUCCUCCGUGUCCGGUGGAAAAACCCUCUUAAAGAAUGCAGAUGCCCAAGGAGAGGAAACCUUUUAUGCAUACCUUGUCAUUUAUCGGCAUUGAUGACUGGCUUGCUGAGAGGCAGUUUUCAUUGAGCAAUCACUGAGAGGAACCAACGUCUGCCCAGAGAAAGCAGUAGAAGAGAUCCAGAGCUACUACCUCUUAGUGGCACUGAUCCACAGGGCUCUGGGUUGAUUUGGAAUGAGCUGUGACUCCUGAAGAAUUCUCAUAGAUUCCUGCCUGGGCGGGAGUGGGAGGCAGGAUAAUGUCCAUACCCAUGUUCUAAUCCCUGGACCUGUUAAUAUAUCACAUUACAUGGCCAAGGGGAAUUAAGGUAGCAGAGGAAUUAAGGUAGCUAAUUAGCUAGCUUGAUGAUAGGGAGAUUAUCCUGAAUUAUCUGGAUGACCCCAAUGACAUCACAGGAUCCUUCAAAGAAAAAAAUGAAGGCAAAAGAAGGAGAUAGAGAAUUGGAAGGAGAUGGGAAGACAGUACCAGGUAGAAAUGAUCUAAGGCUCAAGACCAUUGCUAGUUUGAAGGUGGAAGAACGGCUCACAGUUAAGGAAUGCGCAUGACCUCCAAAGCUGGAAAAGGCAAGGAAAUGGAUUCUCCCCUCCAGACAGGAAUGCAGCCUGACCCACAGCUUGUUUUCAGGCCAGUGAGACCCAUGUCAGACUUCUGUCCUGGAGAACUGGAGGCUAAUAAAUUUGUGUUGUUUUAAGUCAUUAUGUUUGUGGUAAAAAUAUUUAUUCAUUAAUUGAUUCCCUUAUUCAUUCAGCAAAUAUUACUGAGCUUCUACUUUGAGUUGAGCACUUUUAUAGAUGUUGGGGAUAUAGUAAGAAUAAAACAGAUUUAAAGUAACCUCUAUGGAGUGCCUGGAUGGCUCGGUUGUUAAGAGUCUGCCUUUGGCUCAAGUCAUGAUCCCUGGGUCCUGGGAUCAAGCCCAAGCCUGGCAUCAGGCUCUCCGCUCAGCAGGGAGUCUGCUUCUCCCUCCCCCUCUGCCCACUCCCCCAGCUUGCGCUUGCUCUCUUUUGCUCUAUUUCAAAUAAAUAAAUAACUUUUUAAAAAAAGAUUUUAUUUAUUUAUUUGACUAAUAGAGAGUGCAAGCAGGGGGAAUGGCAGGCAGAAGGAGAGAGAGAGGGAGAAGCAGACUCCC